UGUAACCCUGACGAAGAGAAGAGUUAUUAGAAAUGGACCAAGUAAAGUCGAGAAAAGGAGAAGUUGAAUGGGAGGGAAAUAAGGGAUUAUUUUAUGAAUACCAAGGAAAUUUAUGUCUAAAAUCGGAGAGAAUUAAGGAAUCUGCAUCUGUAACCCAUUUCCAAUUCUAUCUAUCUUCGGCUCCAUCAUUUGUUUAAUUUCAAGACGAUUUAAAUACAUCGCAAACUGCAA